UUCCAGACUCCUACGGGAGGCAGCAGUGGGGAAUAUUGGGCAAUGGGCGCAAGCCUUACCCAGCAAUACCGCGUGAGUGAAGAAGGUCUUCGGAUUGUAAAGCUCUUUGAUCAGGGACGAACAGAUGACGGUACCUGAAGAACAAGCCCCGGCUAACUACGUGCCAGCAGCCGCGGUAAAACGGAGGAUGCGAGCGUUAUCCGGAUUUAUUGGGUUUAAAGGGUGCGUAGGCGGAAUGCCAAGUCAGCGGUAAAAUCGCGGGGCUCAACCUCGCUCCGCCGUUGAAACUGGCGUUCUUGAGUGGGCGAGAAGUAUGCGGAAUGCGUGGUGUAGCGGUGAAAUGCAUAGAUAUCACGCAGAACUCCGAUUGCGAAGGCAGCAUACCGGCGCCCAACUGACGCUGAAGCACGAAAGCGUGGGUAUCGAACAGGAUUAGAUACCCGAGUA
rnacentral:rRNA from 1 species